AUGCGAGUCGCACAGCGGCAUCAUUGCACGGAUGCAGUCGAGCGAGGAGUUGUUGCACAGCGGAACGACACCCCUCGGCAACCUGAACACUUCGGGAUGUUGAGGAUCGUGCUUGAACAGUUCCAGGAGCAUCGCGUCCAGUUCCAGGACAGUGAAGUUGAAGUUGAGGCCCGGGCGCAGCCUCAUGAUAUCCGCCGCAUUCUGGAACUCCCAGGCGGGUCUCCUCCUCUCCUGCAGGGGGGCGAUGCGGCGACGAAGAAAAUCUGCGCCAACGGCGCCUACAGUGAGCCCGACAAGCCUAAGGCAUAG
rnacentral:rRNA from 1 species